rnacentral:rRNA from 1 species
AGCGAACGCUGGCGGCAGGCCUAACACAUGCAAGUCGAACGAACCUUUCGGGGUUAGUGGCGGACGGGUGAGUAACACGUGGGAACGUGCCUUUAGGUUCGGCAUAACUCAGGGAAACUUGUGCUAAUACCGAAUGUGCCCUUCGGGGGAAAGAUUUAUCGCCUUUAGAGCGGCCCGCGUCUGAUUAGCUAGUUGGUUGAGGUAAUGGCUCACCAAGGCGACGAUCAGUAGCUGGUCUGAGAGGAUGAUCAGCCACAUUGGGACUGAGACACGGCCCAAACUCCUACGGGAGGCAGCAGUGGGGAAUCUUGCGAAAUGGGCGAAAGCCUGACGCAGCCAUGCCGCGUGAAUGAUGAAGGUAUUAGGAUUGUAAAAUUCUUUCACCGGGGACGAUAAUGACGGUACCCGGAGAAGAAGCCCCGGCUAACUUCGUG